GAUGAACGCUGGCGGCGUGCCUAAUACAUGCAAGUCGAGCGAACAGAUAAGGAGCUUGCUCCUUUGACGUUAGCGGCGGACGGGUGAGUAACACGUGGGUAACCUACCUAUAAGACUGGGAUAACUUCGGGAAACCGGAGCUAAUACCGGAUAAUAUUUCGAACCGCAUGGUUCGAUAGUGAAAGAUGGUUUUGCUAUCACUUAUAGAUGGACCCGCGCCGUAUUAGCUAGUUGGUAAGGUAACGGCUUACCAAGGCGACGAUACGUAGCCGACCUGAGAGGGUGAUCGGCCACACUGGAACUGAGACACGGUCCAGACUCCUACGGGAGGCAGCAGUAGGGAAUCUUCCGCAAUGGGCGAAAGCCUGACGGAGCAACGCUGCGUGAGUGAUGAAGGUCUUCGGAUCGUAAAACUCUGUUAUUAGGGAAGAACAUACGUGUAAGUAACUGUGCACGUCUUGACGGUACCUAAUCAGAAAGCCACGGCUAACUACGUGC
rnacentral:rRNA from 1 species